rfam:Cryomorphaceae bacterium BACL7 MAG-120910-bin24 contig10633_1_120910-bin24, whole genome shotgun sequence.
CGUCCUCAAUCUGUUGCGGGCAGAUAAAGUGGAUGUGGCUGUCAAAGCCACCCGCAGUCAAAAUUCGGCCCUCGCCUGCAAUCACUUCGGUGCCGGGCCCCACGAUGAUAUCGACGCCCGGUUGGGUGUCGGGGUUGCCGGCUUUGCCGAUCUUGUGAAUGCGGCCACUGCGCAGACCCACAUCUGCCUUGUAGAUGCCGGAAUAAUCAACAAUCAGAGCGUUAGUGAUGACCGUAUCAACAGCACCUUGCGCGCGGGUGACCUGUGAUUGCCCCAUGCCGUCACG